GAUGAACGCUGGCGGCGUGCCUAACACAUGCAAGUCGAGCGAACAGACGCGGAGUUUGUUCCUUUGUCGUGAGCGGCGGACGGGUGAGAAACAUGUGGAUAACCCACUUAUAUGUCGGGGAUAACUUCGGGAAACCGGAGCUUACACCGGAUAAUAUAUUGAACCGCAGGGUUCAAUGGUGAGAGACGGUUUUUCGGUCUCUAAUAGCUGCUUCUGGGCUGCAUGAGCUAGUAGGUAAGGUAAUGGCUUACCAAGGCGAGGAGGCGUAGCCGACCUGUGAGGGUGAUCGGCCGCACUAGAGCUGGAACACGGACCAGGCUCCUGCGGGAGGCAGCAGACGGGAAUCUUACGCAGUAGGCGGAAACCUGGCAGAGCGGGGCCGCGUGAGUGAUAGAGAUCUUGGGAUCGUAAAGCUCUCUUAUUGGGGGAAAACCGCUGUGGAAUGAGAUGUAGAGUGCUUGACGGUACCUGAUCAAAAAGCCACGGCUAACUACGUG
rnacentral:rRNA from 1 species